GCUUACAGCCAUACUAUCCUGAACAUGCCUCAUCCCGUCUGAUCUCGGAAGCUAAGCAGGGUCAGGCCUGGUUAGUACUUGGAUGGGAGACCACCUGAGAAUAUCGGGUGCCAUCGGCU